GACAGAGAAUACCGGGCCUGAAGAUCUCUUUCAGGAGCCUCCGGGACUCCAGUAGCCCUGUGGUACUGGCAACCUCGGUCUGGUGUGGUCAUCCCUGACAGGCUCGGUGAGAGGAUAAAGUGUCAUGAUGCGGUGGAAAGCUUUUCACUUUUUAGUGACAUAUCAAUAACAACUCUUCGGUUCAGCUGUGCACAAGAGAAAGGGCCUUGGAUGGCGUGAUGGCACAUGCUUAUGAUCCCAAUGCUCAGAAGGACAGCUGCAGGAUUGAGGCUAUCAUGGGCUAUAGAGGCUAUCACGGGCUAUGGACAGGCCACAGGGAGCCCUGGUGACCUUCUAACAUGUGGUGACUGCAAACCCUCAUUGACAUAGUGCUGUGACAUCACUGAAGCGCUUCCUGAGGAGCUGGUUAACUGUUCUGCUGAUUCAUUCUCUCUCUCUCUCUCUCUCUCUCUCUCUCUCUCUCUCUCUCUCUCCUCCCCCUUGAAUGAACUGUAUGCUUCUAAUGAAGAAAAUGUACAAAGUUCAUUAUGACACUUAAAAAACAUAUAUUUAUUUUACCUAUGUGUACUGGGAUUUGCCUGCAUGUACGUAGGGGCACCAUAUAUGUGCAGUGCCUCAAGAGGCCAGAAGGGGGCAUUAGGUCCCUUGGAACUGGAGUUACAGACAGCUGUGAGCAGCUAUGUGGGUGCUUAUAACUGAACCCAGGUCUUCUGCUCUUAACCUCUGAGUCAUCUCUGCAGUCCCAUAUUAUGUCAUGUCUUGAGUAGCUCACAAGCUUCCACUCCCCCUUUGCUCUACAGAAAGGACCAAGCAGAACCCACAGGAGCAUCUAGCCCAAGGCAACUGUGUUGCCAACUUUCAGUUGUGGCAGCACGUGUCUGAGAUAAACAGCUGAAAACAAGGAGAGUUUCCGAUGGGUUCCUAGUUCUGAAGUUUCAGUUCGUGAUCUGUCGGUUUCGUUGGUUCGGGUCUGUAAUGGACGCUCCGGAGGGAGCACGAGGCACAAGAGGUCUGUUCGUUUCCUGGUGGCCAGCAAGCAAAGACAGCAACCGCAGGCGCUGAAGUCCCAGUGUUCCCUUCCAGGGUGCAACCUCUUGGUCUCACUCUCAGCAGCGUCAAGCCUUUAAAACAUGUGCCUUUGGGAGACACUGAAGAUCCAAACCAUAACUGUCAGAGAGGCGAUGAGGCCCCCGACCCGACAGCCUGUAAGGAAAUGGAUUGCUCUAACAACCAUGGGAGUUGGAAGCCUAUCUUCACUCAGUUAAGCCCUGGCAUAAAACCACAGUUCUAGACAAUCCCAAGUGAAGCCCUCAGAAUGACCUGCAGCCAGCAAGCACCCAAGUUAGACUUUACAGGGACUCUUGACCUCUCGAAAGCAGAAAUAUCCCAGCUAUGUUUUGUUUUGUUUUAAUUUGCAAGAUCUUCAUAGUAAAGUUUAAAAAAAUACCCAAGACCCAGAAAUAACUAAUGUUUGCCAUUUUAAACUGCUAAAUUUGGGAGCCGUUAGCUUCGCAGAAAUAGUUAAUAGACCCAGGUCCAAGAGGCUGGUGGCCCAGUGGGUGGCACCAGGGGUUUGGCUGGAGGGGCUGUAUUCGUUUCUCCACCUGACAAUGACUGAUUCACCUCCCUCAUUCUGAGGCGUUUUGCCUACAUGGUCACCAAAUCCAUCACCUUUCAGGGGCUUCUCUGCGCGUGUCCAACUUUCCCUCAGCCUGUGGC
rnacentral:lncRNA from 1 species